GACUCGCGGCCUAUCAGCUUGUUGGUGGGGUAAUGGCCUACCAAGGCGACGACGGGUAGCCGGCCUGAGAGGGUGACCGGCCACACUGGGACUGAGACACGGCCCAGACUCCUACGGGAGGCAGCAGUGGGGAAUAUUGCACAAUGGGCGAAAGCCUGAUGCAGCGACGCCGCGUGAGGGAUGACGGCCUUCGGGUUGUAAACCUCUUUCAGUAGGGAAGAAGCCGCAAGGUGACGGUACCUGCAGAAGAAGCGCCGGCUAACUACGUGCCAGCAGCCGCGGUAAUACGUAGGGCGCAAGCGUUAUCCGGAAUUAUUGGGCGUAAAGAGCUCGUAGGCGGUUUGUCGCGUCUGCCGUGAAAGUCCGGGGCUCAACUCCGGAUCUGCGGUGGGUACGGGCAGNCUAGAGUGAUGUAGGGGAGACUGGAAUUCCUGNUGUAGCGGUGAAAUGCGCAGAUAUCAGGAGGAACACCGAUGGCGAAGGCAGGUCUCUGGGCAUUAACUGACGCUGAGGAGCGAAAGCAUGGGGAGCGAACAGGAUUAGAUACCCUGGUAGUCCAUGCCGUAAACGUUGGGCACUAGGUGUGGGGGACAUUCCACGUUUUCCGCGCCGUAGCUU
rnacentral:rRNA from 1 species